rnacentral:rRNA from 1 species
UUCCCCUUUCGGGGGGUUGGUGGGGUGUGGGAGUGGCGGACGGGUGAGUAACACGUGAGUAACCUGCCCUGGGCGUGGGGAUAACCCUGGGAAACUGGGGCUAAUACCGGAUGGCUCGCAUCUCUCGCAUGGGGGGUGUGGGAAAGGUUCUCUCCUGUGAGGGGGGGUUCCGGCCUGGGAGGGGCUCGCGGCCCAUCAGCUUGUUGGUGCGGUGAGGGCGUACCAAGGCGAUGACGGGUAGCCGGCCUGAGAGGGUGAUCGGCCACACUGGGACUGAGACACGGCCCAGACUCCUACGGGAGGCAGCAGUGGGGAAUUUUGCGCAAUGGGCGGAAGCCUGACGCAGCGACGCCGUGUGGGGGAGGACGGCCUUCGGGUUGUAAACCCCUUUCGGCCCUGACGAAUGUGACGGUAGGGGCUAAAGAAGCGCCGGCUAACUACGUGCCAGCAGCCGCGGUAAUACGUAGGGCGCGAGCGUUGUCCGGAUUUACUGGGCGUAAAGGGCUCGUAGGCGGUUUGUCGCGUCGGUCGUGGAAAUGUGCGGCUUAACCGGGCACGUGCGGCCGAUACGGGCAGACUCGAGGGCGGUAGGGGCAAGCGGAAUUCCUGGUGUAGCGGUGAAAUGCGCAGAUAUCAGGAGGAACACCGAUGGCGAAGGCAGCUUGCUGGGCCGUUCCUGACGCUGAGGAGCGAAAGCAUGGGGAGCGAACAGGAUUAGAUACCCUGGUAGUCCAUGCUGUAAACGUUGGGCGCUAGGUGUG